rnacentral:miRNA from 1 species
UGACCUCAGUGAGCUCAAAUUCUC